CAUCAUUUGUGAUAAAUAUUCAUUAAAAAAUGGAAGUUGUGAAUUGUAUAAAAUAUAAAAUCAUUUAUAUUAUAUAUUUAUUAAUGUUAAAAUGAAAUAUUUGCUACAUUAUGAUACAGUAGAAUGAUCUAACUGAACUUAAUCGAGGCAUAGAAACCCGAAGUGUAUGCCGAAUAAAUCCGAACUUAAGCCGAACUAUUCUAGCAAUAUCCAUCCAUAUAUAAAUUUGAAACGCGAUAACCACCUACAUAUAUGCCAAGUAUUAUCUUAUUGAAUGAAAAAAUAUAAAUUUGUACAACGAGCAAUGAUAAAGCUAAAUACAAGAGUAUAUACAUAAAAUGAGAGAGAUAAGACACGAUUGUUCAAUACGAUACCGAAGAUAAGAAACGUGUGAUUGUAUAAUAUAUCACAUUAUUAUAUUGUAGUGAUCACACUGAAGGAGAGAAAGUGUUAUAAAAUUUUUAUCCAUGA